CGCUCAGGAUGAACGCUGGCGGCGUGCUUAACACAUGCAAGUCGAACGGUGAAGCAGAGCUUGCUCUGUGGAUCAGUGGCGAACGGGUGAGUAACACGUGAGCAACUGCCCUGGACUCUGGGAUAAGCGCUGGAAACGGCGUCUAAUACUGGAUACGAGACGUGGCCGCAUGGUCAACGUUUGGAAAGAUUUUUUGGUUCAGGAUGGGCUCGCGGCCUAUCAGCUUGUUGGUGAGGUAAUGGCUCACCAAGGCGUCGACGGGUAGCCGGCCUGAGAGGGUGACCGGCCACACUGGGACUGAGACACGGCCCAGACUCCUACGGGAGGCAGCAGUGGGGAAUAUUGCACAAUGGGCGAAAGCCUGAUGCAGCAACGCCGCGUGAGGGAUGACGGCCUUCGGGUUGUAAACCUCUUUUAGCAAGGAAGAAGCGAAAGUGACGGUACUUGCAGAAAAAGCGCCGGCUAACUACGUGCCAGCAGCCGCGGUAAUACGUAGGGCGCAAGCGUUAUCCGGAAUUAUUGGGCGUAAAGAGCUCGUAGGCGGUUUGUCGCGUCUGCUGUGAAAACUGGAGGCUCAACCUCCAGCCUGCAGUGGGUACGGGCAGACUAGAGUGCGGUAGGGGAGAUUGGAAUUCCUGGUGUAGCGGUGGAAUGCGCAGAUAUCAGGAGGAACACCGAUGGCGAAGGCAGAUCUCUGGGCCGUAACUGACGCUGAGGAGCGAAAGGGUGGGGAGCAAACAGGCUUAGAUACCCUGGUAGUCCACCCCGUAAACGUUGGGAACUAGUUGUGGGGACCAUUCCACGGUUUCCGUGACGCAGCUAACGCAUUAAGUUCCCCGCCUGGGGAGUACGGCCGCAAGGCUAAAACUCAAAGGAAUUGACGGGGACCCGCACAAGCGGCGGAGCAUGCGGAUUAAUUCGAUGCAACGCGAAGAACCUUACCAAGGCUUGACAUAUACGAGAACGCUGCAGAAAUGUAGAACUCUUUGGACACUCGUAUACAGGUGGUGC
rnacentral:rRNA from 1 species